rnacentral:rRNA from 1 species
GAUGAACGCUGGCGGCGUGCCUAAUACAUGCAAGUCGAGCGAAGAAACGAGGAGCUUGCUCCUCGGACGGGAGGGGCGGACGGGGGGUGAACACGUGGAUAACCUACCUAUAAGACUGGGAGAACAUCCGGAAGCCGGAGCUGAUAACGGGGAAUAUAUUGAACCUGAUGGAUCAAGAGUGAAGGACGGUUUUGCUUUCGGUUGGAGAUGGAUCCGCGCCGCAUUAGCUGGUUGGUAGGGUGACGGCUUACCAAGGCGACGAUGCGUAGCCGCCCUCAGAGGGUGGUAGGCCACACUGGAACUGAGAAACGGUCCACAAUCCUACGGGAGGAAGCAGUAGGGAAGAUUACGGAAUGGUCGAAGGCAGGAUGGAGCAGCGCCGCGUGAGUGAGGAAGGUCUUCGGAUCGUAAAAAUCUGUUAUUAGGGAAGAACAAAUGUGUAAGUAACUAUGCACGUCUUGACGGUACCUAAUCAGAAAGCCACGGCUAACUACGUG